AGUCAACGUGGACCACUGUGAUACCAUUUGGGUGGACACGGACGUAAAAAGCUAUGCCCGUGGUUAGGUAUCUAGCUUUGUACUCCGAUGCCAUUCAAAUGGUUGUGUGGUUCGGAUUG
rnacentral:miRNA from 1 species